GUCCGCACGGUAAACGAUGGACACCCGCUGUCGGCGAUAUACAGUCGGCGGCCAAGCGAAAGCGUUAAGUGUCCCACCUGGGGAGUACGCCGGCAACGGUGAAACUCAAAGGAAUUGACGGGGGCCCGCACAAGCGGAGGAACAUGUGGUUUAAUUCGAUGAUACGCGAGGAACCUUACCCGGGCUUGAACUGCGCCUGAAAUGUGCCGGAAACGGUGCAGCCGCAAGGCAGGCGCGGAGGUGCUGCAUGGUUGUCGU
rnacentral:rRNA from 1 species